rnacentral:rRNA from 1 species
AAGUAAAAGUCGUAACAAGGUUUCCGUAGGUGAACCUGCGGAAGGAUCAUUACAGUAGUCAUCCGGGUUGCCGCAAGGCCUCCCGGGUAACCUACCACCCUUUGUUUAUUACACUUUGUUGCUUUGGCAGGCCUGCCCUCGGGCUGCUGGCUCCGGCCGGCGAGCGUCUGCCAGAGGACCUAAACUCUGUUUGUCUAUAAUGUCUGAGUACUAUAUAAUAGUUAAAACUUUCAACAACGGAUCUCUUGGUUCUGGCAUCGAUGAAGAACGCAGCGAAAUGCGAUAAGUAAUGUGAAUUGCAGAAUUCAGUGAAUCAUCGAAUCUUUGAACGCACAUUGCGCCCCCUGGUAUUCCGGGGGGCAUGCCUGUCCGAGCGUCAUUACAACCCUCAAGCUCAGCUUGGUGUUGGGCCCCGCCGCCCCGGCGGGCCCUAAAGUCAGUGGCGGUGCCGUCCGGCUCCGAGCGUAGUAAUUCUUCUCGCUCUGGAGGUCCGGUCGUGUGCUUGCCAGCAACCCCAAUUUUUUUCAGGUGACCUCGGANCAGGNAGGGAUACCCGCUGAAUUUAACAU